GGUGUGUGGACUAAGAGUAACCUGUGGACCAGUGGUUCCUGGCUGAAGGCCCUGGAUCUAGGGGAAUGACUCGGAAAGACUCCUCCUGCAUUUGGAGUCUAUGAAGUCCCAACCUGUGUUCUCUGCAAAGUCUCUGGGCAGGAACAGGAGAAUUCCAUUCCUGGCAAUGAAGCAGAAAGACAGGGAUGUAUCAUAGCUACAAAACUCCAACGUUGAGCAAGACUGUCUCUCCAAAACUGGCAUCCAGCUGUUAAUCCAGCAAACAAAUUUACUGUCAGGAAGGUUCAUUCUAAUAAGGAACAUGAAGCAAGGAUUGCUGCAAAUUCUGCCUUCUCAACUGCAAGUAUUUACAGAGGGA